rnacentral:rRNA from 1 species
AGUGAACGCUGGCGGUAGGCCUAACACAUGCAAGUCGAACGGCAGCGCAGUAAGAGCUUGCUCUUACGGGUGGCGAGUGGCGGACGGGUGAGGAAUACAUCGGAAUCUACUUUUUCGUGGGGGAUAACGUAGGGAAACUUACGCUAAUACCGCAUACGACCUACGGGUGAAAGCAGGGGAUCUUCGGACCUUGCGCGAUUGAAUGAGCCGAUGUCGGAUUAGCUAGUUGGCGGGGUAAAGGCCCACCAAGGCGACGAUCCGUAGCUGGUCUGAGAGGAUGAUCAGCCACACUGGAACUGAGACACGGCCCAGACUCCUACGGGAGGCAGCAGUGGGGAAUAUUGGACAAUGGGCGCAAGCCUGAUCCAGCCAUACCGCGUGGGUGAAGAAGGCCUUCGGGUUGUAAAGCCCUUUUGUUGGGAAAGAAAAGCAGCAGGUUAAUACCCCGCUGUUCUGACGGUACCCAAAGAAUAAGCACCGGCUAACUUCGUG